GAUGAACGCUAGCGGCAGGCCUAAUACAUGCAAGUCGAACGGUGUCUUCGGACAUAGUGGCGCACGGGUGCGUAACACGUAUGCAACCUACCUUACAUUGGGGGAUAGCCUUUCGAAAGGGAGAUUAAUACCGCAUAAGACAGUAGCUGGGCAUCCAGCAGCUGUUAAAGAUUUAUCGAUGUAAGCUGGGCAUGCGUCCAAUUAGCUAGUUGGUGAGGUAAUGGCUCACCAAGGCAAUGAUUGGUAGGGGAACUGAGAGGUCAAUCCCCCACACUGGCACUGAGAUACGGGCCAGACUCCUAUGGGAGGCAGCAGUAGGGAAUAUUGGGCAAUGGACGCAAGUCUGACCCAGCCAUGCCGCGUGCAGGAUGAAGGCGUUAUGCGUUGUAAACUGCUUUUAUACAGGAAGAAACGACUCUUGCGAGAGGCAUUGACGGUACUGUAUGAAUAAGCACCGGCUAACUCCGUGCCAGCCGCCGCGGUAACAC
rnacentral:rRNA from 1 species